GAUGAACGCUGGCGGCGUGCCUAAUACAUGCAAGUAGGACGCAGUUGCGAACGGGUGAGUAACGCGUAGGUAACUACCUAUUAGAGGGGGAUAACUAUUGGAAACGAUAGCAAAUACCGCAUACUAGUAGAUGGACCUGCGUUGUAUUAGCUAGUAGGUAGGGUAAAGGCCUACCUAGGCAACGAUACAUAGCCGACCUGGGGAGGUGAUCGGCCACACCGGGACUGGGGAAAUGCCCAAGCUCCUACGGGAAGCAGCAGUAGGGGAACUUCGGCAAUGGGGGGAACCCUGACCGAGCAACGCCGCGGGAGUGAAGGAAGUUUUCGGAUCGUAAAGCUCUGUUGUUAAGGGAGCGGUACUUAACCAGAAAGGGACGGCUAACUACGUGCCAGCAGCCGCGGUAAUUC
rnacentral:rRNA from 1 species